rnacentral:lncRNA from 1 species
AACAGGGUGUUGCGUCUCCCUCCUCUGAGGUAUGGCUCUGUUUCUUUAACUUUAGCAUUGAGCGACUCUUUUCAAGUCCAAAAUUAGUCUACUCAGCUUUGAAUUUAGGCCUAUUUUUGCACAGUUACGGUCUUUUUGGGGGUUCUUUGUUUUUUGUUGGUUUGGUUAAAUCAUGUUCUGCUAUUUGGAUUUAAACAAAAAAAAAGAGAAAGACAAUGACGAUUGUUAAGCCAAUUGUGAAAAAGCAGUAGCAACAGCAACCGAAUGCAGACCAAACAUUUUUUCUUUGCUAAGGGUUCUUGCUUUUCAAACCAUUUUUUCGCCAUUUUUUUUGUAGUUGUUUUUCUUGUUACAGUUCAGAUUUUAGAUUUUUUGGUUGUUUUAAAAAUUCAUGUUUUAAUAAUUCUGUCUUCUUGUGAAAGUUUGUAGCAGUUUGUUGAAUCAUGCUUCUUGUUGAUUUAACGUUGUAAAUUCCGUGAACAAGACUAAACCUUUACUGCUGAUUUCAAUGACAUAGCUGCAGCUGUAAUUCACUGCUGAUUCUUGCGAUCCGGGCAUGCAUGCUCUGUUAGCGGCUUGACUUGCAGUCUGGAAGGAUUAAUUCACUGCUGAUUCUUGUGAUCCACUGCUUCAUUUUUUCUCUCGGUCUCAGCGUUUGGUUUGAGGUAUGAAUCUUGAACUUUUCAUUUCUUUGCCUGCCUUUGCCUUGGAUUGUGGCAUGUUCAUGUGUGUAGUCUUCUACCGGAUUCACCAAUUGUAUUAUGUUUGAUAUGUGGUUUGAAACACUGAAAAAUUGUACUGCUGGACAGUGAGAUUUUGUUUGAAAUUUUGACUGUUAUACUUUGUUGUUUCAUCUUGUUUUUUGACAAGUAUAAUAAUUUUUCUGUUAUACUUUGUUGUUUCGGAAAAUACAUAGCCGUUGUGAUGUGUUGUUAGAAAUAAAUUGUUUGGAAGCAUUGUAUCAUGUUAAGGGCACUCUAAUGAUACAACAACUGAAUUCGUAUGUCAUUCAUAAAUCCCUAUUAAGGUAAACACCGUUGUUAUAAGCUGUAAGCCUGUGUUUACAUUCUCAACUCCCCUAUUAAUGUGCUCCCCACCUGUCUGCAAUUUUAUCUUCUAAAAAAGGUAGUGAUAUUAUUAUGCAAGUCAAAGGUGGCAAGCGAUAUUUGGAGAGCUACAUGGCCCCAUUUGCCAGCCAAUUUGCUUGCAUGAAAUGACAACCAGAUGAUAAAACUCGACGCCAACCCUUGUUUAUUAGGAGCUUCAAUUUGGACUUGCCAGAAUAUCACUGUUAUUGGAAGAAACUUAUUAGCUUAAGGGUAAUGUGAAAUUUCUACUGGGGGUUGGUUAUUAGUUCCAUCUGAAUUGGUUUGGGUUUAGAGAUAAUAAUUUUAUUGGAAAUGAGUUGUUGAACUCGAUUAACAAAAUGUGUAAACCAAGAAUAAGAAAACCCAAUCAUGUUGGACGAACUGUUGAAUAAAAGAACAAACAAUCUCUGUUUAUACAAAUGAAAAAGGGUUGUCAAUCUUUGGACUCUUGUUUUUGUUUUUGUUUUUUGUGAUCCACCAUGUCAUUACCACUCUAAAAUUUGGAUCAAGUAUUAAUUCCUACCCAACAUCCAAGCAGCAUUAUUGGGACCUUGUUUCCAUUAUUCCAUUACAUAAGCAAUUUUGCGUUUUAUGACCCUACCUUUUGCCUUUGAUAAUUGCACCCACAGUCCCCCUCUUAUUAUAGGAAAAUCAACUUCCAAUGCCAAUAUUUCGUUUUAUUUGAUUUGAUUAUUCAAAGAUAUUUCAAUUUGUUUCUUCUUCUUUUCUUUUCUUUUUUACCUAAUAGAAGAUGGCUUAGGGUAUGUUAAUUAUGCGUUUAGGUCAAGUUUAUGGCAUGCGUUGAUAUGUGGUUUGAAACACUGAAAAAUUGUACUGCUGGACAGUGAGAUUUUGUAUGAAAUUUUGACUGUUAUACUUUGUUGUUUCAUCUUGUUUUUUGACAAGUAUAAUAAUUUUUCUGUUAUACUUUGUUGUUUCGGAAAAUCCAUAGCCGUUGUGAUGUGUUGUUAGAAAUAAAUUGUUUGGAAGUAUUGCAUCAUGUUAAGGGUACUCUAAUGAUACAACAACUGAAUUCGUAUGUCAUUCAUGCCAUUGGACACUUGUUGCAUUGAUAUUGAGAUAUUGGUAUUACACAUAUGCAUUGAGAAUGCGAUAGGAUGGCUAAUUGCUUAACAAAGGCUACAAAAGGAGUCCAUCAUUAGCUUUUACUCUUGUCCCGACCUCUUGAUUUUGCUUUCAUGUAUCUAUAUGUUUAGCAUAUACUUUUCAAAAUGUGUAUAUAUACAUAUGUGUGUGUGUUCAACGUCUACUUUGACCUAAAGAAUGAAAAAUAGUUACAAUUUAAAUUUGAUAAUACUUUUAAAAAUAUGUAUAUAUAUGUAUUUAUUUAGUACAUAAUUACUUUCGGAAUUUAUUAAAACUGUUAUAAUGUUUCAAAAUUUAAGAAUUACAUAACAUGUUUAAAAUUAAUUAUGAUCUUCUAGAAAAUAUGUUAAACUACAUUUUAAAAUUUUCAAUUAAAUUAACUUUUAAAAAUGAGAGCUGUAGAACAAGAUAGGAGUAUUGCGUACUUCUAAAUAUUUAAUUUAAAAUUUAAAAACGGAAUCCGAUUAGUAACAUAAUGCAAAAAAUAUAAUUUUUAAACAAUCUUUAAAAACAAUAACCUUUACCUUAAACUAUUGUUUUAAAAAUGUACACAUUAUUCAUAUGAAAUUUUAAAAUUUUUUAUAACAUACAGUAUUAGAAUAUAAUGUUUUUACAUGUUUAUGGAACGUAAAUAUAUUAUAACAAUAUUUUUGAGAUACUAUAAAUUCAUUUUUCACAAUAUUACUUAAAAAUAAAAUAAAUAUUAAUCCAUACAACUAUCCUUCUUGUCUACUGAAAUUCUAUUACUCUAAAAGGAAAAAAGAAUGCAAUAAGUAAAUCUGAAUAUAUGGACUAUUAUCAAAACGUUUCAAUACUUUAUUAGCCACAUGAAAAGCAAAAAUUGCAAACAAAGGCAGACCAUAUUUUCAUACCUGCCAAUACACCAGUAGUCUCACUCAUCCUCCUCCUCUUCUUCUUCAGCCUCUCUCAACCACUUUAAAAGGGGAAAGAUGAGCAAAUAUUAACAAUCUUCAUUUCACCGACUGCCAAAUAGAAAAGUCCACUAUGAGAUGUCAGUUUUGACAUGUAAUAAAAACAGACAAGUCACCCCACCCAUCUGAUGAAGUGAUACAUAGAAGAAAUUAAAUGUAGCAGUAAAACAAGUUCAAGAAUCUUUAGAAAUGCCCUAUGGCAGCUGCAAUCUCUGUAUGUUCCAUUACCCAUAACAAAUAAUAUGUUUUAAAUCACUCCUAAGUUAUAUAUAUUUUUACAAAAUGAAAUUUAAAUUUUAAAUGUUAAAAAAGUUUUGUGUGUUUAUUUUUAUUUAAAUUUUGUGCUGUUUAUUUUUAUUUGAUAAUGUGUAAUUGCAACUUCAAUUCUUUGAUAGUGUGUUCUAAUUUUAAAAUGUUGCAGUAAUGGCUCGUCUACCUUUAAUUGCACAAAGUGUGAGGC